UACGUAGGGGGCAAGCGUUGUCCGGAUUUAUUGGGCGUAAAGAGCGUGUAGGCGGCCAGACAGGUCGUUGUGAAAACUAGAGGCUUAACCUCUAGACGUCGAUGGAAACCGUCUGGCUAGAGUCCGGAAGAGGAGAAUGGAAUUCCUGGGUGUAGCGGUGAAAUGCGCAGAUAUCAGGAAGAACACCCCGUGGCUAAGGCGGUUCUCUAGUACGGUACUGACGCUGAGACGCGAAAGCGUGGGGAGCGAACAGG
rnacentral:rRNA from 1 species